GGAAUCGGCCCUGCUGGGAGCAAGAAGAGGCUGGAAAAUGACUGCUCGGCUCGGAGCGAACAGACCCGCCGCGCCAGCUCUCCUCCAGGGCCACAGACUCCCGCAAGACCAAGCGGCGGGCCCGAGUGGAGAACGUCGGCGAGCCAAGCCGCCCCGUGCGGUGGAUGGCGCGACCACCCGGCCAGUACACAGCUUCGAGGCCCGGAGCAGACCCUUUCUCGGUCCCAGGCCACGACGAACUCGCGGGUCCGGCUUCCCUCCAGGUCCGGCUCAGGGAGCAUCCCGCUCUCUGCAACUGGUUCCAGGAGCCGAGGGCCCUCUGAGCGCCGGAGUCUGCCGAAAGCCCUCUCCGAUGCUCUCCUGCCCUGAGCUUCAGCUUCCCCGGGCGCCUUGCGCACUCUGGGAGUCGAGCGCUGGGGAAGCUAAGUAAGAGGAAGGGUUCCCCGCCAGCUCCGCUCAGCGCGCACUUGCAUUAUCCGCGGGAGCCUCGGCCCCAGCAACCUAGUACCGACUGCCGCGUUGGCCCCAGAAAACAGAGACAUCCAAGCUUCUAUCAGUUCCCUGUGGCUGACAUCGAGACGUAAGGAUUUAUGUGAAACCCUGAUCUGUCGCGGGGUCUGAGCAGGCUGGUCUGGAUGUCUGAACGUCUCCCCGAAUCAGCGGAGGGAUCAGGACCUUGGACAGCGGCAAGCGUCCCCACCCUACCAGACUUUUUGCUGGCCACAGAAACCACCAGUCCCUAGGGCCCCUGUGGGGUCCUGCAGUGCGCGGGCAUCGAGGCCAGCGCAAGCGAUUCCAGGCACUCCUAAUCCUUUCCUGGCCCAAAUCUUCGAAAGUCAUUUGGGAUGCGCAGUAAGCGCUGGGAGCAGGAAGUGAACUCCCGACUCUGCAGUCUCAAAUGCAUGGCUCCUACCGAUGGCUACAGCAGAAAAAUACCUCAUGGUCCCUUUGCCUUCGGCCCCAGCCCUCCCACCGCCCCCUUGACGCGAACCUGUCUACAUUCUUGGUCCUUGGCUGCACAACCAGCUCAGCUCUAAGAAAGCACCCACCUUGCAAGGGGCUCCCAGCCAGCUCCGGACCUUCAGCCUCAAUUCGCCCGAAGUUCUUUUCCCAUAACUACGAGGCUGGGCUCAUUCCUAUGGUAAAACGAGGCUGGGCUCAUUCCUAUGGUAAAACUGCGAAUAAACAACCAACCAAAACAACCGCAGAAACGAAAAGCUACAGAAAACUUUGAUGCUGUGAACCCCCUUUGCCCCAGUUGUCUCCAAUACUCGGAGCCCUGGAGGAGAAGGUGACUUAAUAGAUAUUCGUUAUGGUCUCCCCUCACCAAAGGGGGAGGGGGCGUUAGCAAAGAAACUCUCAUUUUUCCUUAAUUCUUGUGCAGUAAAAUGUAUUUCCCAAUUAACCGAAUUUGCCGAUCUGUCCCGCUUGGACACUCUGAUAAUUUACAACCUAAAAGUGUACUUUCUUUAUCUAAAGACCAAGGUGACUGCUUUUAAUUUUCUCUAACCUCUUUACACUUGAUGUUCACCAGACUCAUAAUGUUAAUUGGCUUCAUAUACGGAUCAUCAGUUUAAUGAAGAAAUAAAUCCUGUGUUGCUUUAUGUUUUAACAGUGAUUGCUUUAAUGAGGAAUGUGACGUGUUCCAAAAUCAAAGCUGCGGGAGACAUUAAAUAGGACUUCUAUUAGGACAGAAAUGCUUAUUUAAAGUUGAAAGACAGGGUCAUAUUUCAGCAUAUUUUUUUUCUUUUGUGGGAGCCCUUCCCACCCACCCCUACCUACCUGGGUUGUUUCCAGCUUCUACAAGGAGACACUUCUGGGGUCCUGGAAGCUCCUUGUAAUAUUUAACUCCGUCAGCUUCAAGUUGCAUUCCCUGUAAGAAUCAUUUUCUGGUUAUUGCAUAGGGCAUGCUAACUUACCUCUUGUCCAGAAGGGCAGAGCGAGCACAGAACAGAGUGGGGAGUUCAACUUUCAAGGUUGUUCAUGGUUUUAAAUAAAGGAGGAAGAGAAUAACACACACACACACACACAAGACUUGUGUGCAGAUGUGUUGCGGAGGCAGCUUGCCCAGUGCAAACAUAUUCACAGUACUGGAAAUCCAAGGCUGAACUCCAAAAAGCAAGCAGCUUGGAGAGUAGAGGAGGGAGCUGCUGCUGACCUGGGCUCUGCAGGGCAAGUGCUGGACCCCCACCCAGAUCCUGAGAGCUUUACAUCCCCCUGUCAAUUAAUAGCAGAGUAAAAAUCUGCUUUCUCUAAUGUGUGUUUGAUUUUUCUAAUUUUAAACAGGUUCUAUGAAGGGAAAACUGUCUUGCAAAAUCCCUGAGAGCAGCAAUAGCAUGCUGGAGAUGGAAGCAUCCUCCAUGCAAGCUCUCGGUUGCUUGCAGUUAUAUUGUGAGGCAUUUUAAAUUGAUUCCUGGAAAGUAUCCUGUAUCCCUAGAAAAUGGAGGAGUUCGAGAUGCUGGGUUGAGAUCUCCAACACCAUACACAGCUGUGUUUCCUCCCAUUUGCCCUGUUUAAGGAAAUCCAGGGGAACGUUUGGAAGCGCUUCUAUGCGUAUCUUGUGAACCCCAGCCCACGAGUGUAUGCUGGACUUGAUAACUGUGUUCAGGAGGGGCUUUUCCCAGCCUCUCUUUUAAAAUUUCUCUUUAGCAAAAGCAAUUCCAGUAAACACCACUUAAAUCCAUAACAACAGGGGCAAAUAAAAUACUCCAAUUAACAAGCAAGAG
rnacentral:lncRNA from 1 species